rnacentral:sRNA from 1 species
GCUGGGCUUGGUGGUGCACACCUGUGGUCCCAGCUACUCAGGAGGCUGAGGCAGGAGGAUGGCUUAAGCCCAGGAGUUCAAGGCUACAGUGAGCCAAGAUUGCAUCACUGUACUCCUGCCUGGGCAACAGAGCGAGACCCUGCCUCAA